rnacentral:rRNA from 1 species
AGAACGAACGCUGGCGGCAUGCCUAACACAUGCAAGUCGAACGAGACCUUCGGGUCUAGUGGCGCACGGGUGCGUAACGCGUGGGAAUCUGCCCUUCGGUUCGGAAUAACAGUUAGAAAUGACUGCUAAUACCGGAUAAUGACGUAAGUCCAAAGAUUUAUCGCCGAAGGAUGAGCCCGCGUAAGAUUAGCUAGUUGGUGAGGUAAAGGCUCACCAAGGCUACGAUCUUUAGCUGGUCUGAGAGGAUGAUCAGCCACACUGGGACCGAGACACGGCCCAGACUCCUACGGGAGGCAGCAGUGGGAAUAUUGGACAAUGGGCGAAAGCCUGAUCCAGCAAUGCCGCGUGAGUGAUGAAGGCCUUAGGUGUAAAGCUCUUUACCGGGAUGAUAAUGACAGUACCGGAGAAUAAGCUCCGGCUAAACGUCCCGCGCCAGCGAACGCCGC